GAUGAACGCUGGCGGCGCGCCUAACACAUGCAAGUCGAACGAUUAAAGCACCUUCGGGUGUGUAUAAAGUGGCGAACGGCUGAGUAACACGUGGGCAACCUGCCCCUCUCAUUGGGAUAGCCACGGGAAACCGUGGAUAAUACCGAAUACUUCGGGACUUCCGCAUGGAAGACUCGAGAAAGCUCCGGCGGAGAGGGAUGGGCCCGCGGCCUGUUUGCUUGUUGGUGGGGUAAUGGCCUACCAAGGCAAUGAUGGGUAGCUGGGUUGAGAGACCGACCAGCCAGAUUGGGACUGAGACACGGCCCAGACUCCUACGGGAGGCAGCAGUGGGGAAUCUUGCACAAUGGGCGAAAGCCUGAUGCAGCGACGCCGCGUGCGGGAUGAAGGCCUUCGGGUUGUAAACCGCUUUCAGCAGGGACGAGGCGAAAGUGACGGUACCUGCAGAAGAAGCCCCGGCUAACUACGUG
rnacentral:rRNA from 1 species